AACACAUGCAAGUCGAGGGGAAACGAUAGAGAAAGCUUGCUUUUUCUAGGCGUCGACCGGCGCACGGGUGAGUAACGCGUAUCCAACCUGCCCAUCACUUGGGGAUAACCUUGCGAAAGUAAGACUAAUACCCAAUGAUAUCUCUAGAAGACAUCUGAAAGAGAUUAAAGAUUUAUCGGUGAUGGAUGGGGAUGCGUCUGAUUAGCUUGUUGGCGGGGUAACGGCCCACCAAGGCGACGAUCAGUAGGGGUUCUGAGAGGAAGGUCCCCCACAUUGGAACUGAGACACGGUCCAAACUCCUACGGGAGGCAGCAGUGAGGAAUAUUGGUCAAUGGGCGAGAGCCUGAACCAGCCAAGUAGCGUGCAGGAAGACGGCCCUAUGGGUUGUAAACUGCUUUUAUAAGAGAAUAAAGUGAGUCUCGUGAGACUUUUUGCAUGUACCUUAUGAAUAAGGACCGGCUAAUUCCGUGCCAGCAGCCGCGGUAAUACGGAAGGUCCGGGCGUUACCCGGAUUUAUUGGGUUUAAAGGGAGCGUAGGCCGGAGAUUAAGCGUGUUGUGAAAUGUAGACGCUCAACGUCUGCACUGCAGCGCGAACUGGUUUCCUUGAGUACGCACAAAGUGGGCGGAAUUCGUGGUGUAGCGGUGAAAUGCUUAGAUAUCACGAAGAACUCCGAUUGCGAAGGCAGCUCACUGGAGCGCAACUGACGCUGAAGCUCGAAAGUGCGGGUAUCGAACAGGAUUAGAUACCCUGGUAGUCCGCACGGUAAACGAUGGAUGCCCGCUGUUGGUCUGAAUAGGUCAGCGGCCAAGCGAAAGCAUUAAGCAUCCCACCUGGGGAGUACGCCGGCAACGGUGCAAC
rnacentral:rRNA from 1 species